UGGUAAUGACAGUGCAUUUUUAAAACAACACUUGCUCAGAAUUCUAUAAACACGAUCGUGAAAAUAAAAAACUAAAAAAAAAUGUUAUGGCUGAAAUGCUAUCGACGAAAAAGCGUCGUAGUAUGCAAACAGUUGCUAUGAUCAAAAGUAUUAUUAAUAUGUAAUAAGGAACGAGAUUUUAGUUUACCGUAAACCAUCGACUUGACUAUUUGAGUUGUUUCAAACUUACGGCGAUACAGUACAACACACACAUACGUCUUCGUGCACCGUUGUUUCCGAUCGCUAUUUUACUCGAAUGCGAGACGCCAUGGAUUCACUACCAUACGCAUCAGUAUGGGACCUGGGGUUGCCAGCAACACCAGCGGACAUGAGCUCUGAGAACGUGAACUACGGCCUCAGCGACAUGGUCAGGGCCAGUUACUUGGCGAAACUGCGUGAAACGCUUAUGUCCAACAUGAGAGAAAACACUGCGAGUGACCGCGGCUCGGCUGAAGACACAAUGGUCGAAAUGUUCGUGGAAAAGUGUUUGGGCGAGAUGGAAAAGGACGCGUUAAGGAAAUGCAUGGUAGCGGAGAUAUACUGCGAAGCGAUGCGUAAAACGAUAGACGAAGUGAACCACUGCACGGUCACAUCAACGAUCCAUGACCGGCUGAUGACGACGAUCAUAGCGGAAGCUGACAGUAAGAAUCGUGAAACCGCAUCGACGAUUGAGGUCGCUGCUGACGGCGUCGACGAGAAACAGCAAAACUCCUGUGACGACUCGUACCUACUUCAGUUCCCGACGCAGGCACAAGUCUUCGAUCAACAGGACGAACAGGGCAUUAUGACACUCGCCAUCGAGAAUUUCAAGUGCACAUCAAUGUUUCCGGGAUCGAUAUCGGAAGACAUUGUCGAUCCAAGUACCGUGCGACCCGAUAUAAUUAAUAUGGUUAAGAAUGAUAAAGAUCUCAGUGCUAUGGUGGCUACAACGCACGAGUUCCGCAGGAACAUGAAAAGACUACCCCGAGCCAUGCGAGCCCGGGUAGACCAGGAGCUGAACCGGAUGUUUGGUAACUGCCUUGAUCCCGGGUAUCGAUCAAUAUUUUUGUCCAAAGAGGAGGAAUGGAUAAUUUCCUACGAAAGGAUCAUGCUGUUGGUCUCAAACCGCAUGAAACCAUAUUUCGAACACGAGAAAAUCGCCAAAUCCUCCGACUUUGAGAAUAUCGUUCAACUCAUAUCGAGGACCAUGAUGGAUAGCGCCAGCGAUCCGACUGAGAUCACGAUAAACCAAACCAUAGACGGGUUUUUUACCGGGCACCCGUACAAAUCCAUCGAUCAAUUCAUAGCCGCCAAUGGUUAUUUUUUCCAAUCUGAUCGGCCGUUGUAACCGUUCAAACCAAAUGGUGUCUCGAUAAAAUAUACUAAAAUAGUAGUACACAUGUACCGUUUUUGUUAUUAUGACAUACAGCAAUGGCUUUCAUUGCAUUAUUGCUUUUUUCGUCAACUAAGAUUUUGUGAAAUGCACAAGACUUUGCCGGUUGGCUUUGCUGUGACAGCACAUUAAUCAGGCCCGUUGGCCUCAAUUAAGACGACAAUUAUUUAUUGUUAUAUAUAUGAAAUUUAUAUUUUUUGUUAAAUUAAUAUAUUGUAUUAUGAA
rnacentral:misc_RNA from 1 species